UACGUAGGGACCGAGCGUUGUCCGGAUUCAUUGGGCGUAAAGAGCUCGUAGGCGGCCACUCAAGUCGAAUGUGAAACCUCGAGGCUUAACCUCGAGCCUGCAUUCGAUACUGGGCGGCUAGAGUCUGGUAGGGGGAUCUGGAAUUCCUGGUGUAGCGGUGGAAUGCGCAGAUAUCAGGAGGAACACCGGUGGCGAAGGCGGGAUCCUGGGCCAGUACUGACGCUGAGGAGCGAAAGCGUGGGGAGCGAACAGG
rnacentral:rRNA from 1 species